rnacentral:rRNA from 1 species
GACGAACGCUGGCGGUGUGCUUAACACAUGCAAGUGGUGCGACGAACCAGAGCUUGCUCUGGGGCAAAGCCGCGAACGGGUGAGUAACACGUGGGUAAUCUACCCCGAUGACCGGGACAACCCGAGGAAACUCGGGCUAAUACCGGAUGUGGUACGGAGACAUAAGUCUCUUUACUAAAGGUAGCUUCGGCUUCCGCAUUGGGAGGGCCCGCGGCCCAUUAGCUAGUUGGUGGGGUCAAGGCCUACCAAGGCAACGAUGGGUAGCUGGUCUGAGAGGACGAUCAGCCACACUGGGACUGAGACACGGCCCAGACUCCUACGGGAGGCAGCAGUGGGGAAUCUUGCGCAAUGCGCGAAAGCGUGACGCAGCAACACCGCGUGAGGGAAGACGGCCUUAGGGUUGUAAACCUCUUUCAGAUGGGACGAAGGUGAUGCGGUGAAUAGCCGAUGUCAUUGACGGUACCGUCAGAAGAAGCUCCGGCUAACUACGUGCCAGCAGCCGCGGUAAU